rnacentral:rRNA from 1 species
CUGAGAGGGUGACCGGCCACAUUGGGACUGAGACACGGCCCAAACUCCUACGGGAGGCAGCAGUGGGGAAUAUUGCACAAUGGGCGAAAGCCUGAUGCAGCGACGCCGCGUGAGCGAAGAAGUAUUUCGGUAUGUAAAGCUCUAUCAGCAGGGAAGAUAAUGACGGUACCUGACUAAGAAGCACCGGCUAAAUACGUGCCAGCAGC